GAAAUUAUUGAGGAAAAAGAAUUGCUUUAUAAGACUGAAAACUUACUUUUUAUUACAGAAAAAAUGGUGCAUCUCAUUAAUAACACCUAGUAGAUGGAUUUAAACCAGAGAACACCUUGUGAAGUGCAUUGGACUCAGAUGAGUGCAAUGACAGUCAUCACAGAAUGAAAUAGUUACACCAAAACUUGUUGUAGUCACACAAGACUUUAACAGUGGAGAAGAGUGGGUAGAAGUUGAACAGAACAUCCCUGAGGAUUUCUUGGCAGCUUUCUAUGAAUCUACAACUACUGCAAAACAAAGGGUUAAAACAAAUGGGUAAUGAGCAAGAGGGGAAGAAAGAAUUGUGCUCAAAAAUCUCUCUGAGGGAAGUCUAAAAAUACAAUCUUUU
rnacentral:lncRNA from 1 species